UACGUAGGGGGCGAGCGUUGUCCGGAUUUAUUGUGCGUAAAGAGCUCGUAGGCGGUUUGGUAAGUUGGAUGUGAAAUCUCCAGGCUCAACUUGGAGGGGUCAUUCGAUACUGCCAUGACUAGAGUUCGGUAGGGGAGUGUGGAAUUCCUGGUGGAGCGGUGAAAUGCGCAGAUAUCAGGAGGAACACCCGUAGCGAAGGCGGCACUCUGGGCCGGAACUGACGCUGAGGAGCGAAAGCGUGGGGAGCGAACAGG
rnacentral:rRNA from 1 species